rnacentral:rRNA from 1 species
UACGGGGGGAGCAAGCGUUGUUCGGAUUUACUGGGCGUAAAGAGCGCGCAGGCGGUCGAUCAAGUCGCGUGUGAAAGCCCCCGGCUCAACUGGGGAGGGUCACGCGAUACUGAUCGACUCGAAGGCAGGAGAGGGUAGUGGAGUUCCCGGUGUAGUGGUGAAAUGCGUAGAUAUCGGGAGGAACACCAGUGGCGAAGGCGACUACCUGGCCUGUUUCUUGACGCUGAGGCGCGAAAGCUAGGGGAGCAAACGGG